rnacentral:rRNA from 1 species
UAGGGAAUCUUCGGCAAUGGACGAAAGUCUGACCGAGCAACGCCGCGUGAGUGAAGAAGGUUUUCGGAUCGUAAAACUCUGUUGUUAGAGAAGAACAAGGACGUUAGUAACUGAACGUCCCCUGACGGUAUCUAACCAGAAAGCCACGGCUAACUACGUGCCAGCAGCCGCGGUAAUACGUAGGUGGCAAGCGUUGUCCGGAUUUAUUGGGCGUAAAGCGAGCGCAGGCGGUUUCUUAAGUCUGAUGUGAAAGCCCCCGGCUCAACCGGGGAGGGUCAUUGGAAACUGGGGGACUUGAGUGCAGAAGAGGAGAGUGGAAUUCCAUGUGUAGCGGUGAAAUGAGUAGAUAUAUGGAGGAACACCAGUGGCGAAGGCGGCUCUCUGGUCUGUAACUGACGAUGAGGCUCGAAAGCGUGGGGAGCAAACAGG